rnacentral:rRNA from 1 species
AACGAACGCUGGCGGCAUGCCUAACACAUGCAAGUCGAACGAGACCUUCGGGUCUAGUGGCGCACGGGUGCGUAACGCGUGGGAACCUGCCCUUAGGUUCGGAAUAAUUCCCCGAAAGGGGUGCUAAUACCGGAUAAUGUCUUCGGACCAAAGAUUUAUCGCCUUUGGAUGGGCCCGCGUUGGUUUAGCUAGUUGGUAGGGUAAAAGCCUACCAAGGCGACGAUCCAUAGCUGGUCUGAGAGGAUGAUCAGCCACACUGGGACUGAGACACGGCCCAGACUACUACGGGAGGCAGCAGUGGGGGAUAUUGGACAAUGGGCGAAAGCCAGAUCCAGCAAUGCCGCGUGAGUGAUGAAGGCCUUAGAGUUGUAAAGCUCUUUUACCCGGGAUGAUAAUGACAGUACCGGAAGAAUAAGCUCCGGCUAACUCCGUG